CAGGCUAUUCUAGGUAAAAUCUGUUAUUUACAUUAAUGGUUUAUUUGUGCAAUUCAAAUUGGCUUGA
rnacentral:tRNA from 1 species